AUUCUUUUAUAAAGACUUGUUGCCUCUCUUUCAAGCUCUAUUGUGAUUUCUGCAUGUGCAAGUUGUAUAUUUUACUUUACCACCAGAUACCUCUGGCAAAGCAGAUGAAGACUCCAGCCUGAGAACUCCUCCAGAUGAGGAGAACCCGAUCAUAUCGGUAAACUAAUAAAAUGACUGAGUGUAGACAAUCUGAGAAUUUAAAGCCGGAGUAGGGUAGAUCUCAGUCUCUGGAACCCUAUAUCACAAGACACAGAAAUGUCUUAAACUGUAAGUGGAAGGUGUAAAUAUCUGAAAAGGGAAGUGGCUGCCCAGCUCCCCGCGAUCAGGCUGCGGCAGAGGUACCCUGAAGCUCUGGGGCUGCGCUGCCAUCUGCUGGGGAGAAGCCAGAGCUUGGAAGAAGCACCGAGAAAUCUCACCGUCCAAUAGUGGGUUGCUUUUGCUAAUCUAAUUCUAUUAAAAUUGUUAAUUGCAGGAAAAUAUAAAUGACUGUUUUUUACUUGAAAGCAAAAUUCAGAAGAAAAAUUUAUUUCCUUUCCACAAGUACACAUUGAGAAAGAUUAGGCAGACUUCUUGGAAAUG
rnacentral:lncRNA from 1 species